ACUUAUUAGAUAUUAAACCAGUCCCAGCAAUGGGUUUUUUUGGUGAUUCAUAGUAACUGAACAAAUCACAUGGUCUCGUACCGGUGAUGUUUCAUUCAAAUUUCUGCCCUAUCAACUAGAUGGUAGUAUAUAGGACUACCAUGGUUGUAACGGGUAACGGAGGAUUAGGGGUUUGAUUCCGGAGAAGGAGCAUGAGAAACGGCUACUAUUUCUAAGGAAAGCAGCAGGCGCGCAAAUUAUUCAAUGGAAACAAUUUUCCGAAAUAGUGACAAAAAUAUCAAUGCUGGAUACUAUGUAUUUAGUAAUUGGAAUGAGUACAAUUUAAAUCCCUUAACAAGUAACAAUUAGAGGGCAAGUCUGGUGCCAGCAGCCGCGGUAAUUCCAGCUCUAAUAGCGUAUAUUAAUAUUGUUGCAGUUAAAAAGCUCGUAGUUGAAAUUUGGAACUUUAUUGUAUUGGUUUAUCUUUUGAUGAAUGUAUAAUGGGUUUCUUCCUUACUAGAGUUCGAUUCUGUUCUUAAUUG
rnacentral:rRNA from 1 species